rnacentral:rRNA from 1 species
GAAGAGGAUGGGCAUGCGGUGCAUUAGCUAGACGGCGGGGUAACGGCCCACCGUGGCGACGAUGCGUAGGGGUUCUGAGAGGAAGGUCCCCCACACUGGUACUGAGACACGGACCAGACUCCUACGGGAGGCAGCAGUGAGGAAUAUUGGUCAAUGGGAGAGAUCCUGAACCAGCCAAGCCGCGUGAGGGAAGACGGCCCUAUGGGUUGUAAACCUCUUUUGUCGGAGAACAAAACCCGGGACGAGUCCCCGACUGCGUGUAUCCGAAGAAAAAGCAUCGGCUAACUCCGUGCCAGCAGCCGCGGUAAUACGGAGGAUGCGAGCGUUAUCCGGAUUUAUUGGGUUUAAAGGGUGCGUAGGCGGUCCGUUAAGUCAGCGGUAAAAUUGCGGGGCUCAACCCCGUCGAGCCGUUGAAACUGGCAGACUUGAGUUGGCGAGAAGUACGCGGAAUGCGCGGUGUAGCGGUGAAAUGCAUAGAUAUCGCGCAGAACUCCGAUUGCGAAGGCAGCGUACCGGCGCCACACUGACGCUGAGGCACGAAAGCGUGGGGAUCGAACAGGAUUAGAUACCCUGGUAGUCCACGCAGUAAACGAUGAAUGCUGGUUGUCCGGGUCGAAUGAGAUCUGG